rnacentral:lncRNA from 1 species
UAAAUAACAAAAACGUGAUUAAUUUUCUCAUUCAGUUAAAAACAAAUACAUUCCCAACAUACAAUAUAUUGUUAUCUGAUACCGUAAAUGUAGAUAUCAAAAAAAACGAAAUUGAUGUUAGGUACAAAAAUGUUUGAGUAAGUUUUAUUUUUAUGGGUGGAUAAUUUGUGUUAUGUAUCUUGCUUCUUCCUAAUGCUUCUUUGCCUCCACCUGCAAGCCAAAAGUUUGAAACUUUGAGAUAAUAUUUGACCUCGAGAAACCCAAAAGUUCCAAGUUGUGAACAAAAGAAAAUACAUGAGAAAUCAAGUGCAAACAAAAAAAAUACCUUGACCCGACAGACAUUUCAUCAAACAACUGUCUUGCACCCAUAUUUUAUCAAAUUGACAAGAAAACUAUAGAAAAGUUAUUAAACUACUACCUUAGCAGGUAAAAAAUCAAGGGGAAAAUAACCAAACGGUAGAGAGGGAGUUUAGACCGAACCAAAAAAUCAAGGGGAAAAGAAUCAAACUUUUUAAUGUAAAAUGUGAAAUCAAACCUCAAAACGGUGGGACGAUGGCAGAUUACAGAGAGGAAAGUCAUCAUGGCAAUAGGCUAAAUCGUGUCGGUGGUGCCUGUUCGAAGCAAAAGCUGUGUUUUUUCCUAUUUGUAAGCUAUCACUUCUUGCUUUUUGAUGUAGGAGGAGAUUGAUGAUCUUUGGAGCUAGGGUUUCGUAUGGAAAACAAGGAGAGAAGAAUUAAAAACGGAUUCAAAAUUUAAGAGUAAGGUGAAGAGGAGAUAAAUUGGCCGGAUUUAAAGGAGCUCAAAGAACGUAAUUAAUCAUAUGGGAGUUUUAAAGAGAGCAGGGGCAUUCUUGAUACUUUGAAAAGAAAAAAG